rnacentral:rRNA from 1 species
CCUACGGGAGGCAGCAGUGGGGAAUAUUUGGCAAUGGGCGAAAGCCUGACCCAGCAACGCCGCGUGAAGGAAGAAGGCUUUCGGGUUGUAAACUUCUUGUGACAGGGAAGAGCAGAAGACGGUACCUGUCGAAUAAGCCACGGCUAAAUACGUGCCAGCAUCCGCGGUAAUACGUAGGUGGCAAGCGUUGUACGGAUUUACUGGGUGUAAAGGGCGGGUAGCCGGGCUGACAGGUCAGAUGUGAAAGCUGGGGGCUCAACCCCCGAACUGCAUUUGAAACUGGUGGUAUUGAGGAUCUGAGAGGCAGGCGGAAUUCCUAGUGUAGCGGGGAAAUGCGUAGAUAUUAGGAGGGACACCAGUGGCGAAGGCGGCCGGCUGGUCGACAACUGACGGUGAGGCGCGAAAGCGUGGGGAGCAAACAGGAUUAGAUACCCCAGUAGUC